rnacentral:rRNA from 1 species
CGGAGGAUGCAAGCGUUAUCCGGAUUCAUUGGGUUUAAAGGGUGCGCAGGCGGAUUGGUAAGUCAGGGGUGAAAUCCCACAGCUCAACUGUGGAACUGCCUUUGAUACUGUCAGUCUAGAGUAUAGUUGAAGUUGGCGGAAUGUGUCAUGUAGCGGUGAAAUGCUUAGAUAUGACACAGAACACCGAUCGCGAAGGCAGCUAGCUAAGCUAUAACUGACGCUCAUGCACGAAAGCGUGGGGAUCAAACAGGAUUAGAUACCCUGGUAGUCCACGCUGUAAACGAUGAUUACUCGAUGUUGGCGAUACACAGUCAGCGUCUGAGCGAAAGCAAUAAGUAAUCCACCUGGGGAGUACGAUCGCAAGAUUGAAACUCAAAGGAAUUGACGGGGGCCCGCACAAGCGGAGGAGCAUGUGGUUUAAUUCGAUGAUACGCGAGGAACCUUACCUGGGCUCGAACGUAAGAUGACUGUAGGUGAAAGCUUACAUCUCUUCGGAGCAUUUUACGAGGUGCUGCAUGGUUGUCGUCAGCUCGUGCCGUGAGGUGUCGGGUUAAGUCCCAUAACGAGCGCAACCCCUACCUUUAGUUGCCAUCAGGUCAUGCUGGGGACUCUAAAGGAACUGCCUACGCAAGUAGUGAGGAAGGCGGGGAUGACGUCAAAUCAGCACGGCCCUUACGUCCAGGGCUACACACGUGCUACAAUGGCCGGUACAGAGGGCAGCUACCUGGUGACAGGAUGCAAAUCUCCAAAGCCGGUCUCAGUUCGGAUCGGAGUCUGCAACCCGACUCCGUGAAGUUGGAUUCGCUAGUAAUCGCGCAUCAGCCAUGGCGCGGUGAAUACGUUCCCGGGCCUUGUACACACCGCCCGUCAAGCCAUGGAAGCUGGGGGGACCUAAAGUCGAUAACCGCAAGGAGUCGCC